AUUGAACGCUGGCGGCAGGCCUAACACAUGCAAGUCGAGCGGAUGAAGGGAGCUUGCUCCUGGAUUCAGCGGCGGACGGGUGAGUAAUGCCUAGGAAUCUGCCUGGUAGUGGGGGAUAACGUCCGGAAACGGGCGCUAAUACCGCAUACGUCCUGAGGGAGAAAGUGGGGGAUCUUCGGACCUCACGCUAUCAGAUGAGCCUAGGUCGGAUUAGCUAGUUGGUGGGGUAAAGGCCUACCAAGGCGACGAUCCGUAACUGGUCUGAGAGGAUGAUCAGUCACACUGGAACUGGGACACGGUCCAGAUUCCUAGGGGAGGCAGCAGUGGGGAAUAUUGGACAAUGGGCGAAAGCCUGAUCCAGCCAUGCCGCGUGUGUGAAGAAGGUCUUCGGAUUGUAAAGCACUUUAAGUUGGGAGGAAGGGCAGUAAGUUAAUACCUUGCUGUUUUGACGUUACCAACAGAAUAAGCACCGGCUAACUUCGUG
rnacentral:rRNA from 1 species